GAUCUGUGUGUCCUAGUUAGCUGUUUCUCGUUCCGAGGAGAGAAUUCAGCAAUGCAGCAUCCUCUCCGAGCUCUAUGAGUUGAUCGGCUUCCACUGCAAAUCCGCCUCCUUCAAGCGGGAGGCCUCCGU